AAUAUAAAGUUAUACUCUUUAUCAAAUACAGUUAUAGACAUAUAUUAGGUUAUGUUUAACAUCAUAUAUUAUCGUAUUGCUGAUUUUCUGAGAGGAUCAGAGACUGUAUGUUUCUAACAUUUCAUCAAACCUUUUCUAUAAAUCAGUUUAAUCUGCUGCAGAAAUAAAGAAUAACUGGAGCUGUGCCGUGAGAUUUCAACAUGUUUCCAGGAACUAGGAACCUGUUUUAUGUACAAUCGCUGCACGGCUGCAAGAAUUCUCUUCUAAUGAUGAAACAACCAACAUGUGAAGCCUGAAGCAGCAGAAACUCAUUAAAACACAUU